UCUGUGGCCACCCUGUGUUCCCCUGUAACCAUGACUUAUCUAUAGUCCUUCUGCUAGAAAUGUUCACUCUCCAUCUCCACAUGUGGAGAUUUAAAGGAUCUGUGGUGCCUUUAAAGGCUUCCUGGACAUGAUGGUCCCUUCUCAACACAUAGCAAAAGCAGAAUGACCAGUCAUUGGGAAAUACAACUGAAAACCCAAUUUGGAGAUGUAUGUCUCUAGUUUGACAACAUCAUCUACAGCUGAUGACCUGCUGUUCCGAGGGCAGGGUAGCUCUCCCUUUCAAAAUGUACCCCACUGUUUGGCUGCCUCUAUGGAGGUCAGGAAAAGAAAGUCGCUGGAACACACAGUGGACAGCAGGUGGAAAACCCCAGGAAAAGGGAUCUCGACAGCCGUGGGUGAGCAUGUGCUUACUCCAAGUGCAGCCUGGGUGAGUGCUUCACGUAUCAUUUCACUUAGUCCCAAGAAUACCCUAAUGACGUAGGGUCUGCUCAUUUUGUAGAUGAACAACUGAAGCUCAGAAAGGUAAAGAAACAUGACCAGGGGCACACAGCUCGUAAGACACGGGCCAAGGAUUCCAUUCCACGGGAGUCCAAGUCCCUUUAUCUUGGAAGUGGGUACCAGAGGACAGGGUCCCCACAAACAUGGGACCUGACAAGGCCCUGCCCUCAGAAGAGCCUGUGCUUUGUUCGAUUCUCUGCAGUCACUGUCUUGAAAUGCUCAAUAAUUUUUGGAUUAGGAGUCCCACAUUUUCAUUUUGUAUGUGGCACCUGUUAUGGCCCCAGGAUUCACAUGUUGAAGCCCUAACCCCCAUGUGAUGGGAUUUGGAAAUAGAGUAUUUUGGAGAAAAUUAGGGUUACAUAAGUCAUGGAGAUGGGACCCCCAUGAUAGGAUUAGUGGCAUUAUAAGAAGAAGAAGAUAGAUUUCUCAAUCCUCUGCUCAUAUCAUGUAAGAACACAGUGGCCGUCUGCAAGCUAGAAAGAGAACCCUUAACAGAAUCUGACCAUGCCAGCACUCUGACCUUGGACUUCCAGCCUCCAGAACUGUAAGAAAUAAAUUUCUGCUGUUUAAGCCAUCCAGUCUAUGAUAUUUUUGUUAUGGCAACUUGACCUAAGACUCAUAUCUAGAUCAAGUUCACACACACCACAGGAAUCCAGCAUGGUCUCACCACAAUGGUGGGUAACCUUGACCCCACCCACCAUCCACACUUCACCUUGACUAACACAUGAUAGAGGCAUUUCACUGGCAUGCACUGUAUAUGGAGUGCAAGCUUUGAGCAAAGCAAAAUCAAAUCCAAGCAGAAUAGAU
rnacentral:lncRNA from 1 species